UACGAAGGGGGCUAGCGUUGCUCGGAAUCACUGGGCGUAAAGGGUGCGUAGGCGGGUCUUUAAGUCAGGGGUGAAAUCCUGGAGCUCAACUCCAGAACUGCCUUUGAUACUGAAGAUCUUGAGUUCGGGAGAGGUGAGUGGAACUGCGAGUGUAGAGGUGAAAUUCGUAGAUAUUCGCAAGAACACCAGUGGCGAAGGCGGCCCACUGGUCCGGUACUGACGCUGAGGUGCGAAAGCGUGGGGAGCAAACAGG
rnacentral:rRNA from 1 species